GGGUUCUGAUAUUAUCUCUGCGCUCUGCAGUGUGCCAUGGGCACAUGAAACCUGGAUAAUACAUAACCAAAGCAAACAAAUACGUUUUGUAUGGCCUAUUUGAAGAACCUGGACUAAUACAUAACCAAAGCAGGCUGACUGCAUAGAUAAAAGAACAAGAGGGUCAAAUCCAUUAACUGGGAAUGUCAGAAGUCAUAACCAUGCCUGAUGACAACAGUUUCCUUUGGCCUGGUGUGGUAUUGUAAAUUGUCGCUUUUAGACCAACUUUUUAGUGAUAGACCCUCUCUAUGCUUUUUGUUGUAAGCUACUGCAGAUUCUUGCCACAGGUAUGAAGUAAAUUCUGUUAAUAGCCUUGAUUUUUCACCUGUGCCACCAUAUAUAUCUUUGCCAUGGCCUCAUGAUGGAUGGAAUAUACUUCCCUGCCCCUUGACUUGAUACUUGACCAUGUAACUUUUUUGGAACAAUGAAAGAUGAUGGAAAUGUCAGUAUACCUGUGCUCAGGUAUACUGUGCUAGGUCUUAAGAAGCCUCCAGUGUUUCCAGCUAUACAUCUGCAAUCACCAUGAGAAGGACCUGCUCAAGCAAACCACUAGUCACAGGAGGAGAAUGAGAGACACAUGGAGCAGAGCUGCCCUCAGAGUCCACCUAGAUUAGUUGUCAGCAGACCUCCAGUGGACUUGUAGAAACACAAGCAAUAAUAAAAGGCUGUUGUUUUA
rnacentral:lncRNA from 1 species